UACGAAGGGGGCUAGCGUUGCUCGGAAUCACUGGGCGUAAAGCGCACGUAGGCGGAUUGUUAAGUCAGGGGUGAAAUCCUGGAGCUCAACUCCAGAACUGCCUUUGAUACUGGCGAUCUCGAGUCCGGGAGAGGUGAGUGGAACUGCGAGUGUAGAGGUGAAAUUCGUAGAUAUCAGGAAGAACACCCGUGGCGGAAGGCGGCUCUCUGGGGACGGUACUGACGCUGAGACGCGAAAGCGUGGGGAGCGAACAGG
rnacentral:rRNA from 1 species